GUGAGACAGUUCGGUCCCUAUCUGCCGUGGGCGCUGGAGAAUUGAGGGGGGCUGCUCCUAGUACGAGAGGACCGGAGUGGACGCAUCACUGGUGUUCGGGUUGUCAUGCCAAUGGCACUGCCCGGUAGCUAAAUGCGGAAGAGAUAAGUGCUGAAAGCAUCUAAGCACGAAACUUGCCCCGAGAUGAGUUCUCCCUGACUCCUUGAGAGUCCUGAAGGAACGUUGAAGACGACGACGUUGAUAGGCCGGGUGUGUAAGCGCAGCGAUGCGUUGAGCUAACCGGUACUAAUGAACCGUGAGGCUUAACCUUACAACGCCGAAGGUGUUU
rnacentral:rRNA from 1 species